rnacentral:lncRNA from 11 species
UGAGACACUCUGCUUGAGGAGAGGGCUGGCCCAGCUUGGCUGACUUUGGGUUCAGCAGCUCUGUGAAGAAGUCCUAGGUGAUGAGGAACUGUGACCCCAUAUUGAAUAAUUCUUCUUCACUCCAUUUCCCAUUGAGCUGGAUUAAUCUGGAAACUGAGUACUGCAAAGGAUGCAACUCUACUGGACAUGUUGACUGGGGA